rnacentral:rRNA from 1 species
CCUACGGGACGCAGCAGUGGGGAAUAUUGCACAAUGGGGGAAACCCUGAUGCAGCGACGCCGCGUGAGCGAUGAAGUAUUUCGGUAUGUAAAGCUCUAUCAGCAGUGAAUUGACGGUACCUGCAAAGGAAGCACCGGCUAACUCCGUGCCAGCAGCCGCGGUAAUACGGAGGGUGCGAGCGUUAAUCGGAAUUACUGGGCGUAAAGCGCUCGUAGGCGGUAUGUCAAGUCAAGGGUGAAAUCCCCGCGCUCAACGUGGGAACUGCCUUUGAAACUGGCAAACUGGAGUGUGUGAGAGGAUAGUGG